GACGAACGCUGGCGGCGUGCCUAAUACAUGCAAGUCGAACGCUUCUUUCCUCCCGAGUGCUUGCACUCAAUUGGAAAGAGGAGUGGCGGACGGGUGAGUAACACGUGGGUAACCUACCCAUCAGAGGGGGAUAACACUUGGAAACAGGUGCUAAUACCGCAUAACAGUUUAUGCCGCAUGGCAUAAGAGUGAAAGGCGCUUUCGGGUGUCGCUGAUGGAUGGACCCGCGGUGCAUUAGCUAGUUGGUGAGGUAACGGCUCACCAAGGCCACGAUGCAUAGCCGACCUGAGAGGGUGAUCGGCCACACUGGGACUGAGACACGGCCCAGACUCCUACGGGAGGCAGCAGUAGGGAAUCUUCGGCAAUGGACGAAAGUCUGACCGAGCAACGCCGCGUGAGUGAAGAAGGUUUUCGGAUCGUAAAACUCUGUUGUUAGAGAAGAACAAGGACGUUAGUAACUGAACGCCCCCUGACGGUAUCUAACCAGAAAGCCACGGCUAACUACGUG
rnacentral:rRNA from 1 species